rnacentral:ncRNA from 1 species
UCAUUCUCCCCCCCUCUCUGCCCUUGAUGCAAGAAAAAAAAUAGAACGUACACAUGUCUGUCAUCCAAAAUGGACCCUGUAGCCUUCUCCUCCUCACUAUUCUCACAAUCUAGGUCUGUCCACAUAUGCAUUGUCUACAUGGGCAUUGUUUACAUAGGCGUUGUAUACAAAAUUCCAUUUUGGCCCACUGGAUCUUGGAUAAUGAGGAAUCACAAAAAAUAUGGAGGUUGUGCAUAGCAUUUUCUAUAGAAUAAAAAAAAUCUAGAAGCAUUAGUGUUCUUCAUAAAAUUCUUGUCCUUAUGAAUAAUAUGAAAGAGUUUUAUGUAGAAUGUUGAUUAAUGAACUAUCCAGCUCCAUGUUCUGGGAGCCGAAUGCCUUUGAUAAGAUCUUGACCAACCCCAUGAUAAAUGAGAUAAUCUAGGGCCUUUACUAUCAUUUAAAAAAUACUUUUGUUGGAUGGACCCUAAGUGUCCCAUAUCCUAUGAUUCACACUUGUUGAUAGGCAGGAAGACUGACGCUUUGCAAAGUGUCUCAGAAGCAUAGAGGAAAAAUUUCUUGAAGUGCAUGGCCUUGAUCAUGCCUAUAUUUGAGGUUCAUUCGAUCAUGUCAUAAGAUUUUCCAAAAAUCAAUCUCAAUGAAGAGGGUGUUGAAAUCAAGGAAACAUUUGAGGGCAUUCCAUAAAUGUUUCCCCUUCAAGAAAUAUUACAGACAACCUUCCAUCCAAAGUCAACAAAAUUGAAACCCAUUUUUGAGAGUUGUUGGUGCCUCAUCCUAUCACUGAUGACAACAUUAGGAAAUCCAGAGACGUUGUCCGGGCCCCCAGGAGGAAUUAUCUUUUCUUUUUAACAUCUUGUCCACCUUGAAAUUGGCUCAACAAGAGAUAGGGUCCAACAGAUGGAAGAGCAUCACACAUAUUGCGGUGUCCGGUGUGCCCUCGACGACCCUUGAAAAUCUGGAGGACCAAGUACCGUCCAUUCCCGAUCGUACUCAUAACCGCAUCAGGUCUCCAAGGUGAACAUCCUUUGGUCAAUAGAACAAUGUAGGUAAGGGAAGUCGGAAAAAUGAAUCCGUAACUCCGGGAAAAGGAUUGGCUCUGAGGGCUGGGCCUAGGGGUCAGUGUCCUCAACCCAUGGGCUAUCGGUAGUCUGCCCAUGGGACUGUCAUUGAUUAAUGAUACCUCCUUUUGAAUGGUAGUGCAACUAAUUAAUGCUACCUCCUUUUGAAUGGUAGAGAACCACCUAUCAU